UGUUCAAGCUUAUUUUCAAUUAAUGUCAAAGCACGCUGUCCUGGGUUGUCAGUCCAAAAAAUAAGUGAAUGGUUUGAGGUUAUUAAAUUAGUCGGUGUAGUGGCCAUUCACGUAUUCACCGAGUCGUUUAAAGUUCAUUCUGGGUGAGAACCGGUUCCGGGGUUUCGAACCAAGUAUAAGCCAAGCUUAAGGCCAAUAACACACCCACUCUAAAACCUAGGUCUGUGGGUUUUGCAGGUUGGAUUUUUUUUUUUUUUUUUUUUUUUUUUUUUUUUUUUUUUUUUUUUUUUUUUUUUUUUUGGGGGGGGGGGGGGGGUAGGGUUUUUUAAGGCUAUAGUUUUUAUAGGGAGUGACAGCUUACGUGUCUCUACACGCCUGCGAUUUGAACUCUGAAAAUUGCAGUUUUAAUAUUCAUAACUUUAACACCGACCCCUACCACACUCCUGGCUAAAUUUAGGGAAGGAGUUUGACACUGUACUGGAUUUUUUUAAUAUGAUCUAAAUGUUUCAGGCGAAACCAUCCACUGAGGGAUGUAACAGCAUAGAAGAGACAAAAUGUGCGAACAAAAAGUACAAUGUAUCGGAAUGACAAACAAAAGCCGGCCAGUUCUGCCUGGAGGUUGCCCUAGAAGAAACACGGAGACACUGUAAUAAUGCAUUGGUCUUCCCGCCGUGCGAUCAGCUACUGGCCGUGUCAGAGACCGGACCCAUGGUAGGCAUGCCUGAACCGUAAACAUUUUGAUCUGAUCUGAUACAUGCCAUUAACCUGUUAACCGUCACAUAGGCGACAUAACCUCGAGAAGAAAAAUAAAA